AUUGAACGCUGGCGGCAGGCCUAACACAUGCAAGUCGAACGGUAACAGGAAACAGCUUGCUGUUUCGCUGACGAGUGGCGGACGGGUGGGUAAUGUCUGGGAAACUGCCUGAUGGAGGGGGAUAACUACUGGAAACGGUAGCUAAUACCGCAUAACGUCGCAAGACCAAAGAGGGGGACCUUCGGGCCUCUUGCCAUCGGAUGUGCCCAGAUGGGAUUAGCUAGUAGGUGGGGUAACGGCUCACCUAGGCGACGAUCCCUAGCUGGUCUGAGAGGAUGACCAGCCACACUGGAACUGAGACACGGUCCAGACUCCUACGGGAGGCAGCAGUGGGGAAUAUUGCACAAUGGGCGCAAGCCUGAUGCAGCCAUGCCGCGUGUAUGAAGAAGGCCUUCGGGUUGUAAAGUUCUUUCAGCGGGGAGGAAGGGAGUAAAGUUAAUACCUUUACUCAUUGACGUUACCCGCAGAAGAAGCACCGGCUAACUCCGUG
rnacentral:rRNA from 1 species